rnacentral:rRNA from 1 species
CCUACGGGGGGCUGCAGUGAGGAAUAUUGGUCAAUGGACGAGAGUCUGAACCAGCCAAGUAGCGUGAAGGAUGACUGCCCUAUGGGUUGUAAACUUCUUUUAUAAGGGAAUAAAACGCGGCACGUGUGCCUGUUUGCAUGUACUUUAUGAAUAAGGAUCGGCUAACUCCGUGCCAGCAGCCGCGGUAAUACGGAGGAUCCGAGCGUUAUCCGGAUUUAUUGGGUUUAAAGGGAGCGUAGAUGGGUUGUUAAGUCAGUUGUGAAAGUUUGCGGCUCAACCGUAAAAUUGCAAUUGAUACUGGCAGGCUUGAGUACAGUUGAGGUAGGCGGAAUUCGUGGUGUAGCGGUGAAAUGCUUAGAUAUCACGAAGAACUCCGAUUGCGAAGGCAGCUUACUAAACUGCCACUGACAUUGAUGCUCGAAAGUGUGGGUAUCAAACAGGAUUAGAUACCCUGGUAGUC